UAGUCAAUUACGCGCCUUUUUUCCGACAUUAGUUUGCUUUCUAUCCUUUUCUAACGCUCACGUAUUGUGUGGAAUCUCUCUCUCUCUCUCUCUCUUUUUAUCCCACAUCCAAUACAAUCACAGUAGGUUUCACCUUCCAUGCUGUCUAAAGUGCAGACGCUGUUUCCUGGUGAUUGUUUUUUUUGUUAUGAAGCCUAUACCUAUUUGCUAGUUUUCUGACACAAACUUAAGCACGAAGUUUACUUAAAAGACGUAUUCUAUUGUGCUUUUAUGACCUUAACUAAUUUUUAAAGUGAAUAAGGUCUAUGAUCAUUAUCCCGUAUUAUCCAAUUGCCUAGUAGUGAUAGGUGUGAUAGAGAUUACUCAGACUGCACAACUUGAUUGUGAAGUUCAGUUCAUUAUAAUGAAGUAAAACUAUGGUGUAUAUGUUAUUAUUAUGAGUUGAUUGAAUGUACAAAAAUUCAUCAUUGAUUGACUUGUGGUUUUCGUAUAUUUAUCAGUACAACUUUACACUUACUUAG